GAUGAACGCUAGCGGCAGGCCUAAUACAUGCAAGUCGAACGGGGGUAGCAAUGCCCCAGUGGCGCACGGGUGCGUAACGCGUAGGCAAUCUGCCUAUCUCUGGGGGAUAGCCCGCCGAAAGGUGGAUUAAUACCGCAUAACACUGCAGGGUGGCAUCACCUAACAGUUAAAGAAUUUCGGAGAUAGAUGAGCCUGCGUGCCAUUAGCUAGUUGGUGCGGUAACGGCGCACCAAGGCGACGAUGGCUAGGGGAGCUGAGAGGCCGAUCCCCCACACUGGCACGGGGAUACGGGCCAGACUCCUACGGGGGGCAGCAGUAGGGAAUAUUGGGCAAUGGGCGCGAGCCUGACCCAGCCAUGCCGCGUGACGGAUGAAGGCCUUCUGGGUUGUAAAGCACUUUCAGCGAGGAGGAAGGGGUUGUAGUUAAUAGCUGCAACCUUUGACGUUACUCGCAGAAGAAGCACCGGCUAACUCUGUGCCAGCAGCCGCCGUAAGAC
rnacentral:rRNA from 1 species